AAAGAACAUUAGGUACUCAA
rnacentral:snRNA from 1 species